rnacentral:rRNA from 1 species
AAGUGCGUAACCGCAAGGGGCGCCCUAGGGUAAAGCCGGUGAUUGGGGCUAAGUCGUAACAAGGUAGCCGUACCGGAAGGUGCGGCUGGAACACCUCCUUUCUGGAGC